rnacentral:rRNA from 1 species
UACGAAGGGGGCUAGCGUUGCUCGGAAUCACUGGGCGUAAAGCGCACGUAGGCGGACUCUUAAGUCAGGGGUGAAAUCCUGGAGCUCAACUCCAGAACUGCCUUUGAUACUGGGAGUCUUGAGUUCGGGAGAGGUGAGUGGAACUGCGAGUGUAGAGGUGAAAUUCGUAGAUAUUCGCAAGAACACCAGUGGCGAAGGCGGCUCACUGGCCCGAUACUGACGCUGAGGUGCGAAAGCUAGGGGAGCAAACGGG